UACGUAGGGUGCGAGCGUUAAUCGGAAUUACUGGGCGUAAAGCGUGCGCAGGCGGUUGGUUAAGUCUGAUGUGAAAGCCCCGGGCUCAACCUGGGAAUGGCAUUGGAAACUGGCUGGCUAGAGUGUGGCAGAGGGGGGUGGAAUUCCAGGUGUAGCAGUGAAAUGCGUAGAGAUCUGGAGGAACACCGAUGGCGAAGGCAGCCCCCUGGGCUAACACUGACGCUCAUGCACGAAAGCGUGGGGAGCAAACAGG
rnacentral:rRNA from 1 species